CAUGCCGUAAACGAUGAUAACUAGAUGUAGGAGGUAUUGACCCCUUCUGUGUCGAAGCAAACGCGAUAAGUUAUCCGCCUGGGAAGUACGGUCGCAAGAUUAAAACUCAAAGGAAUUGACGGGGGCCCGCACAAGCGGUGGAGCAUGUGGUUUAAUUCGACGCAACGCGAAGAACCUUACCUAGACUUGACAUGUAUUGAAGGCUUGAGAAAUCAGGCUGUGCCCGCAAGGGAGCAAUAACACAGGUGC
rnacentral:rRNA from 1 species